GACGGGCCCGCACAAGCAGCGGAGCGUGUGGUUUAAUUCGAUGCUACACGAAGAACCUUACCAGGGUUUGACAUGCAAGUGGUAGGAAACCGAAAGGCGACCGACCCUUCGGGGAGCUUGCACAGGUGCUGCAUGGCUGUCGUCAGCUCGUGUCGUGAGAUGUUCGGUUAAGUCCGCUAACGAGCGCAACCCUCGCUGUGUGUUACAAGUGUCACACGGUACUGCCGGUCUUAAGCCGGAGGAAGUGGGGAUGACGUCAAGUCAGCAUGGCCUUUAUGUCCUGGGCUACACACACGCUACAAUGGCCAACACAAUAGGUUGCUAAGCCGCGAGGUGGAGCCAAUCCUCAAAGUUGGUCUCAGUUCAGAUUGCAGGCUGCAACCCGCCUGCAUGAAGAUGGAGUUGCUAGUAACCGCAGGUCAGCUAUACUGCGGUGAAUACGUUCCCGGGGCUU
rnacentral:rRNA from 1 species